CUACGGGAGGCAGCAGUGGGGAAUAUUGCACAAUGGAGGAAACUCUGAUGCAGCAACGCCGCGUGGAGGAUGACACUUUUCGGAGCGUAAACUCCUUUUAUAUAGGAAGAAGAUGACGGUACUAUAUGAAUAAGCGCCGGCUAACUCCGUGCCAGCAGCCGCGGUAAUACGGAGGGCGCAAGCGUUACUCGGAAUCACUGGGCGUAAAGAGCGUGUAGGCGGAUUAAAAAGUCAGAAGUGAAAUCCUAUAGCUUAACUAUAGAACUGCUUCUGAAACUCUUAAUCUAGACUAUGGGAGAGGUAGAUGGAAUUUCUGGUGUAGGGGUAAGAUCCGUAGAGAUCAGAAGGAAUACCGAUUGCGAAGGCGAUCUACUAGAACAUUAUUGACGCUGAGACGCGAAAGCGUGGGGAGCAAACAGGAUUAGAUACCCCUGUAGUC
rnacentral:rRNA from 1 species